CAAGUUUUCCGUAUUAAAUAAAGGUUCUAUCAGACAGUUCUGUAGUGGAAAAGGUUCUGAAACAACUUUUUAGUGAUUAAAGGAUAACAUAAGGUCCUGCAUAAAGGUUCUAACAUGACGUUCUGUUGUAGAUAAAGGUUCUAACAUGACGUUCUGUUGUAGAUAAAGGUUCUUUCAGACUGUGAGAUAUAUAAAGGUUCUAACAUGACGUUCUGUUGUAGCUAAAGGUUCUAACAUGACGUUCUGAUGGAGAUAAAGGUUCUUUCAGACUGUGAGAUAUAUAAAGGUUCUAACAUGACGUUCUGUUGUAGAUAAAGGUUCUUUCAGAGUGUGAGAUAUAUAAAGGUUCUAACAUGACGUUCUGUUGUAGCUAAAGGUUCUAACAUGACGUUCUGAUGGAGA